GUGUUAGACUGUUACUGUGUUAGACUGUUACUGCGUUAGACUGUUACUGUGUUAGACUGUUACUGCGUUAGACUGUUACUGUGUUAGACUGUUACUAUGUUAGACUGUUACUGUGUUAGACUGUUACUGUGUUAGACUGUUACUGCGUUAGACUGUUACUGUGUUAGACUGUUACUGUGUUAGACUCUUACUGUGUUAGACUCUUACUGUGUUAGACUGUUACUGUGUUAGACUGUUACUGUGUUAGACUGUUACUGUGUUAGACUGUUACUGUGUUAGACUGUUACUGUGUUAGACUGUUACUGUGUUAGACUGUUACUGUGUUAGAC